GCUGGAUGCUGUGGUGCACGCCUGUAAUCCCAGUGGCUCAGGAGGCUGAGGCAGGAGGAUGGCAGGUUCAAAGCCAGCCUCAGCAGAAGUGAGGUGCUAAGCAACUCAGUGAGACCCUGUCUCUA
rnacentral:sRNA from 1 species